AUUGAACGCUGGCGGCAGGCCUAACACAUGCAAGUCGAACGAGUGGCGGACGGGUGAGUAAUGUCUGGGACACUGCCUGAUGGAGGGGGAUAACUACUGGAAACGGUAGCUAAUACCGCAUACCAUCGGAUGUGCCCAGAUGGGAGUAGCUAGUAGGUGGGGUAACGGGGCUCCUAGGCGACGAUCCCUAGCUGGUCUGAGAGGAUGACCAGCCACACUGGAACAUAGAGACGGUCCAGACGCCUACGGGAGGCAGCGGUGGGGAAUAUUGCACAAUGGGCGCAAGCCUGAUGCAGCCAUGCCGCGUGUAUGAAGAGGGCCUUCGGGUUGUAAAGUACUUUCAGCGGGGAGGGGUUACCCGCAGAAGAAGCACCGGCUAACUCCGUGCCAGCAGCCGCGGUAAUAC
rnacentral:rRNA from 1 species